GUAGGGAAUAUUGGGCAAUGGAUGCAAGUCUGACCCAGCCAUCCCGCGUGCCGGAAGAUGGCCCUCAGGGUUGUAAACGGCUUUUGACGGUGAAGAAUCGACAGGAUGCGUCCUGUUUUGACGGUAGCCGUUGAAUAAGCACCGGCUAACUCCGUGCCAGCAGCCGCGGUAAUACGGAGGGUGCGAGCGUUGUCCGGAUUUAUUGGGUUUAAAGGGUGCGUAGGCUGGAAGGUCAGUCAGCGGUGAAAAGCUAUCGCUUAACGAUAGUCUUGCCGCAGAUACUUCCUUUCUUGGAUGAGGAGGAGGCCACUGGAACGGAUGGUGUAGCGGUGAAAUGCAUAGAUAUCAUCCAGAACACCGAUUGCGAAGGCAGGUGGCUGUACCUUAAUCGACGCUGAUGCACGAAAGCAUGGGGAGCAAACAGGAUUAGAAACCCCAGUAGUCC
rnacentral:rRNA from 1 species